rnacentral:rRNA from 1 species
GAGGAAAAGAAACUAACAAGGAUUCCCCUAGUAACGGCGAGUGAAGCGGGAAGANGCUNCAAAUUUNGAAAUCUGGUAGCCUUCGGUUGCCCGAGUUGUAAUCUAGAGAAGUGUUUUCCGCGUUGGCCCAUGUACAAGUCCCUUGGAACAGGGCGUCAUAGAGGGUGAGAAUCCCGUCCUUGACAUGGACCCCCAAUGCUUUGUGAUACACUUUCAACGAGUCGAGUUGUUUGGGAAUGCAGCUCAAAAUGGGUGGUGAAUUCCAUCUAAAGCUAAAUAUUGGCGAGAGACCGAUAGCGAACAAGUACCGUGAGGGAAAGAUGAAAAGCACUUUGGAAAGAGAGUUAAACAGUACGUGAAAUUGUUGAAAGGGAAACGAUUGAAGUCAGUCAUGCUCUUUGGAUUAAGCCGUUCUGCGGUGUAUUUCAUUGAGCGGGGUCAACAUCAGUUUUGAUCGCUGGAAAAGGGCAGGAGGAAGGUAGCACUCUCGGGUGAACUUAUAGCCUCUUGUCGUAUACAGUGAUUGGGACUGAGGAACGCAGCAUGCCUUUUGGCCGGGAUUCGUCCACGUACAUGCUUAGGAUGUUGACAUAAUGGCUUUAAACGACCCGUCUAAAA